GCCGGAUUAGCUCAGCGGUAGAGCAGCGGUUUUGUAAACCGAAGGUCGGGAGUUCAAUCCUCUCAUCCGGCACCA
rnacentral:tRNA from 6 species